GGCUGGUCUUUAUCAUAUUUUUUUGUACAGUUAUAAGCCCAAAAAUUAUGCCCUCCUUCACAUUUUUCAAAGCAGUCCAUUGAGGCAGGUUGGAGUCCUUGUUGGGCCUAUUUUGGCGCCUGGGCCUUAUGUUUGACACCCUUUCCAUAAACCCUAGAGAUGCUUGUGUGGCAAAAUCCCAGUAUAUCAGCAGCCACGCUCAGAGUCACUUAAUUCCUUUUCCUUUCUCAUUCUGAAGCUCGGUUUGAACUCCAGCAGGUCGUCUUGUCCGUGCCUUCGUGCCUAAACGCUCCGAGCUGCUGCCGAGUUAAAUAAUUGAUCCUGAUUUUGGGGUCGCGGCAAGCAGGAAGGUCAGAGGGCACGUGUCUGCUCGCGUCACCGACCUCAUCCAGGAUCUCUCUGUUGCGGGUCAACAGCUCGGGCAGGUCUUUGAUGAGCUGCUCGAUGCUCUGCAGUCCUCCGUGCUGCACGACGUUCCUGGCCUUCUCAGCAAUGGAUUGUGGGAUGGAGUCUCCUGACAGAUCCUCCAGAGCAGCUGGCAGGUUUAGAGACGCCAA